CUCUCGGAAUCAACAACGCAUGAGAAAACUUUGCGUUUUGUUUAGUUUGUUUGUCAAUUAGGGUGUGCAGGGUGAACGCGGGGUCUAUCGUACUGUCAUUUGGUGAAAAGCUUUGCUCAGUACAUUGUUUUCACUGAGGAAAUGUGCAGGUCUGCCUUUAAUGAUAACGCAGAGGAUUUUCCCAAGGCUGCUGUUGACACAUAUCCCACGGUGCUGGAGUGAUAGGUGAAAUCAUCUGGAGGAAGAGGAGGAGGCAGAAAGGGGGACACUAGCAUUCUGAGGGGCCUCCAUGUUGGGCUCCCGCACGUCCACUAGCACGUAAUACUGGAUGUCCUUCAGCUCCAGGCAGUCUUUGGCAGACUGGUCCCUUGGUCUGGAGAGGACAGAGGGAGGACAUCCAGGCUUCAGGCACCACACCAGAAGGCCCAAAUGACCUCCUCUCGUUCUUCACAACGUGGACAGCUGAGGGCAGCAAGCCAGGGCGAAGCGGGAUGUUUUCUGUGUUUUCAAAAUAAGACAGACUAAAACUAUUAUAUAUAUAUAUAUAUAAAACAUAUAUAUUUUUUAUAUUGACUUCCAUUUCUUCAGACAAACUUUACUUUUUUAAGUAAAAAAGCCUUACCUAUCUCGCCCAGCAUUUUCUGGAUCCUAGUCAAAUGCUGGGAAUAUUUCUUAAGAGACAUUGUAAUACUUACACAUGUUUACUCUAUGAUUUCAGUUUGUGUUAUGAAGUUUUUUGGUGAAAAGUGCAUUUGAGCGUUCUGUUACCCGGCAUAUACACUGUCAAAAUUCUAGAAUAUCACAGGACUUUAUUUAUGAUGUUAUCGCCAUUUUCAGCAGAAAUACGAUGGUUGUAUCAGUGUUCCUAGAUGUAACAAUUAAUGACGAUUAUGAUGCUUUAGCCUACAGCAGGUAUCAGGUAGCCUAGCGGAUAGAAGCAUUGGGCCAGUAACCGAAAGGUUGAUGGGUUCAAAUCCCUGCAACGGCUAAUUGAAAAAUCUGUUGACGUGCCCUUGAUCAAGGCACUUAACUCUAAUUGCUCCAGAUAAUGGUGGAUCUCUGACCCCACUCUUCGAGGGUGUCUCAGGAGGAGUAGGGAUAUGCAAAAAAAACAUCUCCAAUUCGCACUUGUACAUGUGUGAAAUAGAACUAUUGUCAGGCUUAGGCCUAUAAUGUAAUGCAGUUAAGUUGUUUGUGCUUUCAAAUAAUAUUACACAAUGGACAUUCAUGCUAAUGCGGUGUAGCCAAUAGGACAGGGUUGCUCUGCUCUGUAAAAAGUGUGUGUAGUUUGGUUUGUGUUGACUCUCUUACCCUCAAUAAGGAGAGUGAGCUAAUACUCUUUGGAGGGGACAUGGGAAGGGAACACCACUCUCUAGCCACACGCACUCACACAUAUUUGGUAACAUUCUAUGACAAGAUUUAUAGUGUGUUAUGACACUAACUAUAAGCGUCCAUAAUUCUCCAUUCUCAUAAGUGGUUACAUUAGGGCUCCCGAGUGGCGCAGCAGUCUAAGGCACUGCAUCACAGUGCUAGAGGCGUCACUACAGACCCUGGUUUGAUUCCAGGCUGUAUCACAACCGGCCGUGAUUGGGAGUCCCAUAGGGCGGUGCACAACUAGCCAAGCGUUGGGGUAGGCCGUCAUUGUAAAUAAGAAUUUGUUCUUAACCGACUUGCCUGGUUAAAUAAAUAAAAUAAAAACAUAA